AUAAAGGAUCAUCAUUACUAACUUUGGACAAAAAAUGAUGAAAAUGCAGGUUAACACCAUGUCACAACAAGGGCCCGUGUCAUACAUGCAGCUGCUCCUAGCUACUGAACAAGAGGCACUGUACUAUAUUUAUGAAAAACUAGUGAAUUUUUGAACACGAGGUACUGCUACACACAAUAAAAAGUGCAGGAAAAAAAAUAAUAAAAAGCCAAAGAAAAUAAACGAAAUCCAACCCAUCCCACCCCACGGAUCACACCCAGCAUCCAUCUCGCGCUCCCCAGCGGCGCCGCCACCCACCGCUCACAAGGACCUCUCCGCCGGCCAUGUCCUCUUCCACCCUCCCCUCCCCUCUUCAGCAGAGAAGACAAUAGAAGAGAAAACAAGAGGGAGGGAAGGAGAUCGACCGCGACCGAGCAGCUCAGGCGGUCGCCAUGGCGCGCCCAUAUCCAUCCUUCCCCUGGCGCGCGUCGUCGAGCUGCCCCUGGAGAUUGGGAGUGAGGGGGCGGCCACCUUCUCUCUCUGCAUGCCUCCCUUCCUCUGUUCCCAGCACGGCGCCGGAUCCGCCUCCACAACCACGGCACCGGCAGCCAUGGAAGGCCAGCGGCCUUGGUCCGGUUCGUGUGCUUCUUUUCUCCAUGGAGGUCCGACACCACAGCAUCCCUCUUCCCCUCUUCGUCAUGACAGGCGCUUCCUAAGUUCAGUUUCUUAUUUGUGUUGCAACAAGACCACUUCGUAUGUUCAGUUUCUUACUUGUGUUGCAACAAGACCAGUAUGACCAUAGCUAGCACAUGACAACAAGCAAGACAGAGACUCCGCAAUGCUCCUGGAUUCAAACCGGGGGCGCGAAUGAUACAUCUUUUCACUUUUCUUAUUUUUAUUUGGGUGCCUGUUUGAAUACAGUUUUAUUAAGCAUUUCACAACGGAAAAUGCUCAGUCUUUUGAGGCAUUUUGUUGUUGAGGUACGCUGUUGAUUCAA